rnacentral:rRNA from 1 species
UACGUAGGGCGCAAGCGUUGUCCGGAAUUAUUGGGCGUAAAGAGCUCGUAGGCGGCUUGUCGCGUCGGAUGUGAAAGCCCGGGGCUUAACCCCGGGUCUGCAUUCGAUACGGGCAGGCUAGAGUUCGGUAGGGGAGAUCGGAAUUCCUGGUGUAGCGGUGAAAUGCGCAGAUAUCAGGAGGAACACCGGUGGCGAAGGCGGAUCUCUGGGCCAUUACUGACGCUGAGGAGCGAAAGCGUGGGGAGCGAACAGG